rnacentral:tRNA from 1 species
GCCGGAGUGGUGGAAUUGGUAGACACAGGGGAUUCAAAAUCCCCCGCCCGCAAAGGCUUACCGGUUCGAGUCCGGUCUCCGGUA